UAAGGAAUAUUGGUCAAUGGACGAAAGUCUGAACCAGCCAUGCCGCGUGGAGGAUGAAGGCCCUCUGGGUUGUAAACUUCUUUUACAGGGGACGAAAAAGGGUCUUUCUAGAUCAACUGACGGUACCCUAGGAAUAAGGACCGGCUAACUCCGUGCCAGCAGCCGCGGUAAUACGGAGGGUGCAAGCGUUAUCCGGAUUCACUGGGUUUAAAGGGUGCGUAGGUGGGUUAGUAAGUCAGUGGUGAAAUCUUCGAGCUUAACUCGGAAACUGCCAUUGAUACUAUUAGUCUUGAAUAUUGUGGAGGUUAGCGGAAUAUGUCAUGUAGCGGUGAAAUGCUUAGAUAUGACAUAGAACACCAAUUGCGAAGGCAGCUGGCUACACAUAUAUUGACACUGAGGCACGAAAGCGUGGGGAUCAAAC
rnacentral:rRNA from 1 species